AGCAGCAGCCGCGGAGCAGUAGCCGCCGUGGGAGGGAGCCAUGAAGCAUUACGAGGUGGAGAUUCUGGAUGCAAAGACAAGGGAGAAGCUGUGUUUCUUGGACAAGGUGGAGCCCCAUGCCACCAUUGCGGAGAUCAAGAACCUCUUCACUAAGACCCAUCCGCAGUGGUACCCCGCCCGCCAGUCCCUCCGCCUGGACCCCAAGGGCAAGUCCCUGAAGGAUGAGGAUGUUCUGCAGAAGCUGCCCGUGGGCACCACGGCCACACUGUACUUCCGGGACCUGGGGGCCCAGAUCAGCUGGGUGACGGUGAGUCCUGACCCUACCCACAGCCUCUUUUCCCGUCAGCCACAUUGGGUGACUCAUCUUGCCCCCCUCUACUUUCAGGUCUUCCUAACAGAGUACGCGGGGCCCCUUUUCAUCUACCUGCUCUUCUACUUCCGAGUGCCCUUCAUCUAUGGCCACAAAUAUGACUUUACGUCCAGUCGGCAUACAGUGGUGCACCUCGCCUGCAUCUGUCACUCAUUCCACUACAUCAAGCGCCUGCUGGAGACGCUCUUCGUGCACCGCUUCUCCCAUGGCACUAUGCCUUUGCGCAACAUCUUCAAGAACUGCACCUACUACUGGGGCUUCGCCGCGUGGAUGGCCUAUUACAUCAAUCACCCUCUCUACACUCCCCCUAGUAAGUGGCCUCAGACCAUCCUUCCCUCCUCCACGGUCCCCACCCAGCGGGUCCUCCUCUCAUGGGCUCCCCUCCCUGCUUUCUCUUCAGCCUACGGAGCUCAGCAGGUGAAACUGGCGCUCGCCAUCUUUGUGGUAAGGAGGCUGGGUGUGGGGACGGGGUCAGGGGAGUCUGGGCGGCCCUAGGCUGAUCCUGCUUCUCUGACAGAUCUGUCAGCUCGGCAACUUCUCCAUCCACAUGGCCCUGCGGGACCUGCGGCCCGCUGGUGAGUGCCUGCUGGGGGCAAGGGGACAGCUGGGCUGGGUGAGGGGGUCUGACUUCCUCCUUCUGUCCUGCCUGCCAGGGUCCAAGACGCGGAAGAUCCCAUACCCCACCAAGAACCCCUUCACGUGGCUCUUCCUGCUGGUGUCCUGCCCCAACUACACCUACGAGGUGGGGUCCUGGAUCGGUUUCGCCAUCAUGACGCAGUGUCUCCCAGGUGAGCCUGCCGCCCUCCCUCGGCGGGGCCCUACCCCUCCGGGCCGGCAGCCCCUCCCUGACGCCCGUUCUUUCCUGCAGUGGCCCUGUUCUCCCUGGUGGGCUUCACCCAGAUGACUAUCUGGGCCAAGGGCAAGCACCGCAGCUACCUGAAGGAGUUCCGGGACUACCCGCCCCUGCGCAUGCCCAUCAUCCCCUUCCUGCUCUGAGCGCUCACCCCUGCUGAGGCUCAGCCCCUCACCCCGGUGGCAUUCUGGGGGAGGAGUGGGGCCCACAGCUCUCCAGCACCCGGAAUAAAGCCCGCCUGCCCCAGUCG
rnacentral:sRNA from 1 species